CUACGGGCCGCUGCAGUGGGGAAUAUUGCACAAUGGGCGCAAGCCUGAUGCAGCCAUGCCGCGUGUAUGAAGAAGGCCUUCGGGUUGUAAAGUACUUUCAGCGGGGAGGAAGGGAGUAAAGUUAAUACCUUUGCUCAUUGACGUUACCCGCAGAAGAAGCACCGGCUAACUCCGUGCCAGCAGCCGCGGUAAUACGGAGGGUGCAAGCGUUAAUCGGAAUUACUGGGCGUAAAGCGCACGCAGGCGGUUUGUUAAGUCAGAUGUGAAAUCCCCGGGCUCAACCUGGGAACUGCAUCUGAUACUGGGAAGCUUGAGUGUCGUAGAGGGGGGGAGAAUUCCAGGUGUAGCGGUGAAAUGCGUAGAGAUCUGGAGGAAUACCGGUGGCGAAGGCGGCCCCCUGGACGAAGACUGACGCUCAGGUGCGAAAGCGUGGGGAGCAAACAGGAUUAGAUACCCCCGUAGUC
rnacentral:rRNA from 1 species